GUAUUGCCGUCCCCAUAGGCGCACACACACAUACACACGCACGCACGUGACACAUGCACAGCAGCUGGGGAGCUGGUGUUCACGCCUCUUUGCAGCUCACGGCCUGUGCGUGCCGAGCACCCAGAGCACCCUCCCCUGUGCUCCCGGGGGAAGGGGGGUGCCCAGUGGGGCAUCCCUGAAGCGACCUGUGACCCUCGCUGGACCCUGCAGGCCGAGCUGGAGACACACUGAGUGGCUCUGUCCUCUGAGCACCCCUGUCGGGCUCCAGGCCGACCACAGGCCGCCCGCGACCGGCCCCUUUCUCCAGCCGUUCAAGAACUAUCGAUUGGGCCGAAAGCCUCUGGCGGCGUUUUCAGUCCUGGUCACCUUCCUGGGUUUGGGUACGUCCCAAUCUCUUCAUUAGGCAUUCACACAGCCUCGGAGGGAGUGGAUCUUUUCUAUA